CCCAAACCCAAUGUGAACGUUACCAAACUGUUGCCUCGGCGGGAUCUCUGCCCCGGGUGCGUCGCAGCCCCGGACCAAGGCGCCCGCCGGAGGACCAACCUAAAACUCUUAUUGUAUACCCCCUCGCGGGUUUUUUUAUAAUCUGAGCCUUCUCGGCGCCUCUCGUAGGCGUUUCGAAAAUGAAUCAAAACUUUCAACAACGGAUCUCUUGGUUCUGGCAUCGAUGAAGAACGCAGCGAAAUGCGAUAAGUAAUGUGAAUUGCAGAAUUCAGUGAAUCAUCGAAUCUUUGAACGCACAUUGCGCCCGCCAGUAUUCUGGCGGGCAUGCCUGUCCGAGCGUCAUUUCAACCCUCGAACCCCUCCGGGGGGUCGGCGUUGGGGAUCGGCCCUCCCUUAGCGGGGUGGCCGUCUCCGAAAUACAGUGGCGGUCUCGCCGCAGCCUCUCCUGCGCAGUAGUUUGCACACUCGCAUCGGGAGCGCGGCGCGUCCACAGCCGUUAAACACCCAACUUCUGAAAUGUUGACCUCGGAUCAGGUAGGAAUACCCGCUGAACUUAAGCAUAUCAAAGGCCCGGAGGAAA
rnacentral:rRNA from 1 species